GGGGUUCUGCUGUCUCCUGGGGAAUGAGUAUGAGGUUCUCAAACCUAUGCAGCAACAUCAGAGUUCUGGUUCCUCCUAGAAGCUCUGAAUUCAACCACUUCCUGCUUAAGGGUGGUACUCAUACUGUGUGGGGCUUUCUGCAUACACUGUAGGUGGAUGUGUGAGCAGCAGGCCGGAAAGAACACAGUCACAGCAUUGACAGAAGUUAGUGACUCAUAUUUUACUGGGUUUUCUACUGCCUGAUACAGGCAACAAUCAGAAGAUCUGUUUAUAUACAUCUAUCAAGGCAACCAUGUGACUGUACUAUAGUGUGCUACAUACUGGUGCUGCUGCACAAGGUCCUAAUAGUCAGUGCACUUCUUGGACGGGGCAGUGGCCUGGUCCCAGUGAAGAGUCCAUGAAGUUACUUACCCUGGCUAUUUGGUCUGCCAUUUGGAGACGUCCAUCCAGCUCUCGUCUGAUCUGGGCUGCCUGCUCAUCUGGAUUAUCCAGCUGCACAAAACACAAUCAUACAAACAGGGAGACUAUUAGUUUAGAGCAUCAAUGCUAAUAAACUUGUGGCUUUUCAUCUUAUACCACUCUGUGCCUCCAUCUUGAUCUAUGAAUUAAUUUCAAUAAAAUAUCUUAUAACCAA